rnacentral:rRNA from 1 species
GUACACUCCUGCGGGAGGCAGCAGUGGGGAAUAUUGCACAAUGGGCGGAAGCCUGAUGCAGCAACGCCGCGUGCGGGAUGACGGCCUUCGGGUUGUAAACCGCUUUCGCCUGUGACGAAGCGUGAGUGACGGUAAUGGGUAAAGAAGCACCGGCUAACUACGUGCCAGCAGCCGCGGUGAUACGUAGGGUGCGAGCGUUGUCCGGAUUUAUUGGGCGUAAAGGGCUCGUAGGUGGUUGAUCGCGUCGGAAGUGUAAUCUUGGGGCUUAACCCUGAGCGUGCUUUCGAUACGGGUUGACUUGAGGAAGGUAGGGGAGAAUGGAAUUCCUGGUGGAGCGGUGGAAUGCGCAGAUAUCAGGAGGAACACCAGUGGCGAAGGCGGUUCUCUGGGCCUUUCCUGACGCUGAGGAGCGAAAGCGUGGGGAGCGAACAGGCUUAGAUACCCCGGUAGUCCCAUGA